rnacentral:rRNA from 1 species
GACGUAGGGCGCGAGCGUUGUCCGGAUUUAUUGGGCGUAAAGAGCUCGUAGGCGGUCUGUCGCGUCGAAUGUGAAAACCCGGGGCUCAACUCCGGGCUUGCAUUCGAUACGGGCAGGCUAGAGUUCGGUAGGGGAGUCUGGAAUUCCUGGUGUAGCGGUGAAAUGACGCAGAUAUCAGGAGGAACACCGGUGGCGAAGGCGGGACUCUGGGCCGAUACUGACGCUGAGGAGCGAAAGCGUGGGGAGCGAACAGG